AUGGACGUCCUCCUCCUGGAGAAGGCCCUCCUGGGCCUCUUCGCCGCGGCGGUGCUGGCCAUCGCCGUCGCCAAGCUCACCGGCAAGCGCUUCCGCCUCCCCCCUGGCCCCUCCGGCGCCCCCAUCGUCGGCAACUGGCUGCAGGUCGGCGACGACCUCAACCACCGCAACCUGAUGGGCCUGGCCAAGCGGUUCGGCGAGGUGUUCCUCCUCCGCAUGGGCGUCCGCAACCUGGUGGUCGUCUCCAGCCCCGAGCUCGCCAAGGAGGUCCUCCACACCCAGGGCGUCGAGUUCGGCUCCCGCACCCGCAACGUCGUCUUCGACAUCUUCACCGGCAAGGGACAGGACAUGGUGUUCACGGUGUACGGCGACCACUGGCGCAAGAUGCGGCGGAUCAUGACGGUGCCCUUCUUCACCAACAAGGUGGUGGCGCAGAACCGCGUGGGGUGGGAGGAGGAGGCCCGGCUGGUGGUGGGGGACCUCAAGGCCGACCCGGCGGCGGCGACGGCGGGCGUGGUGGUCCGCCGCAGGCUGCAGCUCAUGAUGUACAACGACAUGUUCCGCAUCAUGUUCGACCGCCGGUUCGAGAGCGUGGCCGACCCGCUCUUCAACCAGCUCAAGGCGCUCAACGCCGAGCGCAGCAUCCUCUCCCAGAGCUUCGACUACAACUACGGCGACUUCAUCCCCGUCCUCCGCCCCUUCCUCCGCCGCUACCUCAACCGCUGCACCAACCUCAAGACCAAGCGGAUGAAGGUGUUCGAGGACCACUUCGUCCAGCAGCGCAAGGAGGCGUUGGAGAAGACGGGUGAGAUCAGGUGCGCCAUGGACCACAUCCUGGAAGCCGAAAGGAAGGGCGAGAUCAACCACGACAACGUCCUCUACAUCGUCGAGAACAUCAACGUCGCAGCCAUCGAGACGACGCUGUGGUCGAUCGAGUGGGGCCUCGCGGAGCUGGUGAACCACCCGGAGAUCCAGCAGAAGCUGCGCGAGGAGAUCGUCGCCGUUCUGGGCGCCGGCGUGGCGGUGACGGAGCCGGACCUGGAGCGCCUCCCCUACCUGCAGUCCGUGGUGAAGGAGACGCUCCGCCUCCGCAUGGCAAUCCCGCUCCUGGUGCCGCACAUGAACCUCAGCGACGCCAAGCUCGCCGGCUACGACAUCCCCGCCGAGUCCAAGAUCCUCGUCAACGCCUGGUUCCUCGCCAACGACCCCAAGCGGUGGGUGCGCGCCGAUGAGUUCAGGCCGGAGAGGUUCCUCGAGGAGGAGAAGGCCGUCGAGGCCCACGGCAACGAUUUCCGGUUCGUGCCCUUCGGCGUCGGCCGCCGGAGCUGCCCCGGGAUCAUCCUCGCGCUGCCCAUCAUCGGCAUCACGCUCGGACGCCUGGUGCAGAACUUCCAGCUGCUGCCGCCGCCGGGGCAGGACAAGAUCGACACCACCGAGAAGCCCGGGCAGUUUAGCAACCAGAUCCUCAAGCACGCCACCAUUGUCUGCAAGCCACUCGAGGCUUAA
rnacentral:rRNA from 1 species